GUCUUCGUGGUGUAGUUGGUUAUCACAUGUGCUUCACACGCACAAGGGCAAGAGUUCGAACCUCUUCGAAGACA